UACGUAGAGAGCAAGCGUUGUCCGGAAUCAUUGGGCGUAAAGGGUACGCAGGCGGUCUAUUAAGUCAGAGGUGAAAUCCAACAGCUCAACUGUUGAACUGCCUUUUGAUACUGGUAGACUUGAGGAUAAGAGAAGAAAACGGAAUUCCUAGUGUAGCGGUGAAAUGCGUAGAUAUUAGGAAGAAUACCGAUGGCGAAAGCAGUUUUCUAACUUAUUCCUGACGCUCAGGUACGAAAGCUAGGGUAGCAAACGGG
rnacentral:rRNA from 1 species